rnacentral:rRNA from 1 species
AACGAACGCUGGCGGCAUGCCUAACACAUGCAAGUCGAACGAGAUCUUCGGGUCUAGUGGCGCACGGGUGCGUAACGCGUGGGAAUCUGCCCUUUGGUUCGGAAUAACAGUUGGAAACGACUGCUAAUACCGGAUGAUGACGAAAGUCCAAAGAUUUAUCGCCAGAGGAUGAGCCCGCGUAGGAUUAGCUAGUUGGUGUGGUAAAGGCGCACCAGGGCGACGAUCCUUAGCUGGUCUGAGAGGAUGAUCAGCCACACUGGGACUGAGACACGGCCCAGACUCCUACGGGAGGCAGCAGUGGGGAAUAUUGGACAAUGGGCGAAAGCUUGAUCCAGCAAUGCCGCGUGAGUGAUGAAGGCCUUAGGGUUGUAAAGCUCUUUUACCCGGGAUGAUAAUGACAGUACCGGGAGAAUAAGCUCCGGCUAACUCCGUGCCAGCAGCCGCGGUAA